UGACCGUGAACGUGAGGAGAGGAGAGCAGGCGAGAGAGGAUCGGCGGCGAAACAAAAUGUAAAAACGAGUGAAAAUACGGUGUAAGACCAACGUUUGAGUCGUCGCUUCGUCGCUUUGGUUCGUUAACGCUCAAUUACUGAAGAAGUCUGGACGUUAAAAGAAGCUUUGGAGCUGUUUUUGUCGAACACACCGGCGGCUCAAAGCUGUGGAUGCAGACAGAGGAUGAGAAGCUGAUGGGUCUGCAGCACGAGGACUCCUUCUGAUUGGAAGGCUUUCUCUGACUGAAUCCCAGCUGACCACACAGCCUCACCUGAUAGGACCUCACCUGAUGGGACUGUCAGCUGUGACCAGUUUGUAAGAUAAAGUUCCCACGCUGCAGAGACAGAUGAGUUAAUCUGAGCCUGUGAGCUGGAGACGAUGGAUUCUGCCUCAUCAAGCAGGGAGAUGAUGUUACACCAAACAGGAGCCAUGUUUACUUCCUCUCCUCCAGACUGAAACUUCACCCAUCAAACGACAGAGAGAAGAGACAUGAAGAUUUCCAGGUCCAGACCUUCAGCUGCCUCCAUCUUCUUCUCCUCCACCUGCAGAGACACAUCAUGUUAAUCACUCAUCAAUAAAUCUCCUCCUCCUCUAAACUGUCCUCAGUCGUUUUUGAUGGUUAAUUACAGUGUAGGAGUUCUGCUGCUACAGUCUCACUCAAACCAAUUCAUCAGAU